rnacentral:lncRNA from 1 species
CUCGAACCUGAUGAGACUAUUCGGCAGCUUUAUUGACAAAUCGUAUCCUGGUGAAAAGCCAGAUCUUGUCCUGCCUCAAGGUCCCCUGGGCCUCCUUAGAGUCUCUGCAGCUGAGGGAUGCGGGGACAACCAGGCCUGGCCCAGACGCUGCAGCCAAGGAGUGACGAAGCUUUUGUUUUCACCACCAGCAGUUUCUUUCUCCGUGGGACGUGGAUGGUAGAAUUCAGAGCAGGGAGGUGGUGAUAAUUGGAAAUGGCUGAACUCAUCUGGAGGCCGGAGGAAGUCAGAGGCCCCUUGCAGCCACCAUGUUCUCCACGUGCCUCAGAGAAAUGUCGGCGCCAAGAGGCAGGAAGCAGGAGUUGGGGGAAGUCCAUUGGCCCAGCUAAAGAAAGACAGUGCUGUUUCCAGGGGAGGCACAGGCCCUGGGAUUAAGAAGGGGCAGGAAUAAGGCCUUGGGGCUUUCCAGUCCCUUCCUUGGCCAGGGCCUGGCCCAGUGGCCCAUGAAGGGAACAUUUCUUGGCUAGUGUCUGCAUGUUGGGGGUGGGGUGUGUGAGGCAUGAUGGAACUCUUCUAGUCCAGCAUUUUCCAAACACUUCCCUGGGACUAGACACUCACAUGUGGUCAGAUAAGAGAGGACCAUCUCUCAGAGAUCCAUCAACUCCAUUGGUGGAUUCAAGGCUCUGAUAAGUCCAGCAGUGAGGAGACCUGUUUAUAAUUUAGUUGCAUCCGGAACUUUCUAAAAUUCUGGAUGCCCCUCCCUCUGUUUCUCAGAUGCCUAGUGACAUCUUAAAGCACUCCAUUUGGCAAAUACUGAUCUAGUCCACCUCCUCAUAAGAACAACAAGAGGUGGUAGGACUUGCCCAAGGCCACGCAAUCAGAAGCAGAUUGAGCCAUCCUGACUUGGAACUGUCUAAGCAGGCCCGGCUUUGAGUUUCAGACAUUACCGUGGAGAAGCCGGUGGUCUCAGAUAAGGAAACAAAGCACAGAGAAGUUAUGCAAUGUGCACAGCCUGCUGGUGAGUGGCGGAUCUGGUUGCAGAACUCCUGCCUGGCUCGGGGAGCCCUGGCUGACCUCCUCCGUCAGCACGUGGCCCCAGCGUGUCUCCUGGCCCACCACACCCUCCGGAGCCUCUGAUGUUUACAAUUCUGCCCUGCGAGGCUUUGAACCUACCCCUGCCCGCUGCCUGCCAGGGCUUGUCCUGCCAGCCUGUGUCUGCGUGGCCUUUAUUGAUUUUCUGGCUGGCGGAGCCUGCAAGGAACAUGCUCUCUCUAAUGGAGUGUUAAUUGGGAGGGAAGCGGAGAGAAAGCUUUUCCUCUGCCGCCCUGCUUAGAGGGAGGGAGGGAGCCCCCAGCUCCUGUUUUUUCUUUCCCGGAGCAUUCCCUCUCCCAGGCUGGGAUGUGGUGGCAGGAGCCGUGGGCCCGGAGUCAUGGGUAGGCCCAGACUCUUGCUGCUGCUGACUCACACCGUGACCUUGGACGAGUCCCGCCUGGGCCUCAGCCUCCUCAACUGCAAAAUGGGACACUAGACACCUCUGCUCCUCGCGGCUGGAGUGAGGAUUGCUUGAGAGAAGAAAUAAGACUUUUAGCCCAGCCCUUGGCACCUAGGGUGCUCAAUACAUUAUCCAUUUGCCUCUGGCCUCCCGAUUCCCAGACAGCCUGGGUUUGAAUCCGUGGUGGCCUUGAGGGAGUUACUUUAACAUCUCUGUGCCUCAGUUUCCUCAACUGUAAAAAGAAGAGACAGACAGGACCCAUCUCCUCUGGUUGUAUUGACUGAGAUGCUGCGGGGAAGGCACCUAGCGUGGUCUCUAGCAGACAGUAGGCACUCAAUCAAGGUUAUCAAUUAGUAUCGUUAUAAUGACCACUAUGCCUCAGUUUCCUCCCCUGACAAAGGGAGGCGUUUCUCUUGAAAGCUGCGCUGGUUAUCAACACUAUGAUGGUCCAGCGUGAAACAUGCCCUUCGAGACUGUUGUGAUGCCGGGGUGCAAGGGAGCCCAUCUCUUCCUUGUCUUUGAUUCCUUCUCUGUUUAACUCAUUCUUUACAUUCAACGCCCUCUGUCAAAAUAUCUGACGCUGUUUACCUUUUCCUGCCUGGACUCUGAUUGAUACAGCACCCGAAGGCCCCAGCAGCCGGGUCAGGUUAAGAUUUCCCCUGGAAGCCAGGAGAGGAGUGCUUUUCCAUAAAGAUAACUCCUGUGGGCUGCAUUCCUGAGCCCUGAAGUCACCUGUGUCAUACUGUCACAGCUUCCCCGUAAGGAACUGUCCUCUUGGCUGUUUCCAGGGCUGAUGUCUAUGCCUCCCUCCCCGGGUUCUCUCUCCUUUUUCUCGGCCCCCUACUCACCAGACACCUCCACGUAUCCGUCCUUGGUCUUCACCAUCAGCUCCUCCGGCUUGAAGCUGUGCACGUUGACACACACUUUCCAGGGCUCCCCAGGGAACGGUGGGGGGGUCCUGCCCUCAGCAGGUACCCCAAACCUGGCCGUGGCGGUGGGCCCCCGGGGCACCAUGCCCGACCUCAGGGUCCCCGGCCAGGCCGAGGAGAAUGGAGGCAGGCCCCAGUCAUGCCAAGAGGCAGUCAAAUUGUCGUGGAAGGGGUCCAUGCCAAAGCCAUCAUCCAGCAGGCGGGAGGAGAGGGGCGAGUCUCGGAAGGGGUCCCGGCGCAGGCGGCCCGUGUAGGGGAAGGGCAUCUGACCAUCAGCCAUGGUGGCCGCUGAGCUGGAGGGGAAGUGGAGGCUCAGAGAACCACAGCCACCUGCCCAAGGUCACACAGCAAGCUGAUGUGGGUGGGCUGGUCUUCCAAACUUAUUCUUCAGCUUCAGAAAAUGCUGAACCAUCCACUGCCAGGGACGGAGGCACACACCAGGCUGGGGUCCUGGGCCCCAGAGACACUCCAGCCACCAAAGGCGACCCCCCGCUGAUCCAGCAGAAUCCCAGAGGGCCCUUAUCCGUACUGCCUCACCAGGGAUCAGCCAGUCUCUGUCCUCGCAGGCCACACAGGCUGGCAGCCAGAGCCGCUGAGGUCUAAAGAGGAGCCAGGAGCUUAAUAAACCCAGGGAGGCAGGCCUAGAAACUUCUCGCUUCUCCUGGGCUGGGAGCUUUCUAUUUAUUGCUGCUGGGGGCUGGAGGCGGGUUUUGCAAGUGGCUCCUGUCACAGGAGUAUUCCGAGGUGAUGAACCAGCCCCAGAGAAUCCGCUGAGGGAACAGCUGUGCUCCAGGGGGCUGGGAGGGGCCCUGGCAGCCAAGUUCAGCCAGCCUCUCUGGGCAGUCUCUCCUCCCCACGCUGGCUCAGCUCCGCCCUCCCACUCCCUUCCCCGGAGCCAUCCUCCCCAGCCAGGGCACUAUUAAUAACCCUCUGCCUGGCCCAGGGCUCAGGUCACCCUCUGGAAAUACCUUCCCCAGAGCGUGCUGCAUCCUGCCUCCCCCCUGGGGACCUGCAGAAGUGGAGGAGGGACAGAUGGGAGCCCCAUAGAUCUGGAGGCAGAUGGCCCUGGGUUGCACUCCCCACUUGCAUGCGCUCAGAGCUCGCCCUCCCCGUCCUUGGGAGAGUAACAUGCCUGCCCUCCCCAUGCAUCCCUGAGCUCUCAGUUUCCCCACCUGCAAAAUGGACGUAAUGGUAGCCUCCUGUGGGCGUGUCCUGAGGAGAACGUGAGGCGAUCUUAAGCCUUUAGCAGACGACACUUCUGUAUUUUCAAUGUUCUCAAUGACGUAAUGUUUGCUGUAUGCCGAGCCCUGUUCUACAGGCUUUACAAAUAUUAACCCCUCCUCACCAACAAUCCCACAAUGUGAACUUACCACUAUCAUCUGCAUUUUACAGACGGGGGAACUGCCAUAGGAAGUGGCACCCAAUAGGAGCUUCUAUUAUUAUUAUGACUGUAAAUAAUGAUGAUUAUCACAACGUGCUGUACCCAGGCAUGGUGUCUAGUCUGGACCUCGAAGCCCAGAGAUGACCUAUUUUCUAGAUUCCCCUGUCACUUGGAGAGCUAAUCUAUAAAGCAGACUUUGAACGAAAGGCCCCUUCAGCUGGGGUUCCAAUCUUUGAUCUGUCCCCAACAGGUGGGCCUCUGGGGGCACGCCAUCCUCCCUCUGUGGGCUUCAGGGUCUCAGCCGGCUUCCUCGUGGGGUGGAGUGGGUUGGGGGUGUUAAGGAAUUCAGUGAGUCAUUGGUUGAGAAAUUGUUUUGAUGUUAAGCAGUGCAUGCAUGAGAAAGUUUUCUAAAAAUAAGAGUCUGGAAAACAACAAGUCACCAUCCUUCACUGCCUGCUGUGUACCUGUCUCGGUGGUAGCAGGUGAGCACGGUGCAGACUUCAUGGCAUUAAAUCUUCUCAGCAAGAAGGAGGGAGUUGUCACCACCCCCACUUUGCAGGGGUUUGGAACUCUUGCUCUGCUCCUGGGGGCAGAUCCCGGGGCCUCCCGCAGUCACUCGGCCUCCUGCAGGCUCCAGGUCCAGGGAGCCCCGUCUCAGAGUUCCCUCUCUCGUACACCCCAGAGCCCAGCGCAUCUUCCUGCAAGCAGAAGGUGAGCAUGCUCCCGUGUCUUUCCUUCUGCUUCUCAGACCCCCUACGGAUGACGCUCAUGGAAUUCCAGCACACUCUCUCCAUGAGGGCAGGAGCCCCGGGAGUUUUGUUCAUAGUCGCAGCCCGGGUGCCUAGAAGGGUGCCUGGUGCGUUACAGGGGCUCAGCAGAUGCUGACCGAGUAGACGACGUCGUGUUAGCAACCCUGUGUCUGAACUGCUUGCUCACAUGCGACAGACUCCAUGCACAGCAACAGCCUUAGAAUAUUCACUGAGAUUUCCAGGGUACCUAGAAGGUGCUGGACACCUAGCUAAAUGCCUUCCAGACAUGCUUAUAUUUAAUCUUCACAACAGCCCCCCAGAGGUUCGGGCCAUCACCAUCCCCAUUUUGCAGAUGAGGAAACUGAGGCUCAGGCAUGAUGUGACUUGCCCCAUCUGCAUUCUGAACCCAGGUGUGCCUGAACGUCAGGCCCAGUGCUCUUUCCUCUGCCACACACCUGUACAAAAACAGAUGAUUAAUAAAUAAAAUAAACAACCCACAAGGUGCCACCCUAAACAGGUUGAUUCCCUCAUAAUCUCAUGCAGGUAAUCUUAUUUAUUGAGCUCUAGCUUCCUCCUAGUAUUGUCUCCAAAACUCUCUCCAGGGAUUGUGUCCCCUCACUACCUCUAUAAAUCAUUCUAAUAAUCAUGAUAACCAUAAAAAUAGCAAAGAUUUCACAUUUUGUACCAGUUAUGUUUUGCAUGUAUCAACUUAUUUAAUCGUCACCCAAAUUGCUCUAAAACAGGUACUAUUCUCUCCAUUCACAG